UACGUAGGUGGCGAGCGUUAUCCGGAUUUAUUGGGCGUAAAGGGCGUGUAGGCGGCUUUGUAAGUCAGGGGUGAAACCCCGGAGCUCAACUCCGGGCAUGCCUCUGAAACUGCGGAGCUUGAGUGCUCUAGAGGGCAGUGGAAUUCCGGGUGUAGCAGUGAAAUGCGUAGAGAUCCGGAGGAACACCAGUGGCGAAGGCGACUGCCUGGGGAGUAACUGACGCUGAGGCGCGAAAGCUGGGGGAGCAAACAGG
rnacentral:misc_RNA from 1 species